CAGUAGCCGCGGUAAUACGAAGGGGGCUAGCGUUGCUCGGAAUGACUGGGCGUAAUGGGCGCGUAGGCGGCGAUCAAAGUCAGGCGUGAAAUUCCUGGGCUCAACCUGGGGGCUGCGCUUGAUACUUGGUUGCUUGAGUGGGGAAGAGGGUCGUGGAAUUCCCAGUGUAGAGGUGAAAUUCGUAGAUAUUGGGAAGAACACCGGUGGCGAAGGCGGCGACCUGGUCCUUGACUGACGCUGAGGCGCGAAAGCGUGGGGAGCAAACAGGAUUAGAUACCCCUGUAGUCCCUGUCUCUUAUAC
rnacentral:rRNA from 1 species